GAUGAACGCUGGCGGCGUGCCUAAUACAUGCAAGUCGAGCGAACGGACGAGAAGCUUGCUUCUCUGAUGUUAGCGGCGGACGGGUGAGUAACACGUGGAUAACCUACCUAUAAGACUGGGAUAACUUCGGGAAACCGGAGCUAAUACCGGAUAAUAUUUUGAACCGCAUGGUUCGAAAGUGAAAGACGGUCUUGCUGUCACUUAUAGAUGGAUCCGCGCUGCAUUAGCUAGUUGGUAAGGUAACGGCUUACCAAGGCAACGAUGCAUAGCCGACCUGAGAGGGUGAUCGGCCACACUGGAACUGAGACACGGUCCAGACUCCUACGGGAGGCAGCAGUAGGGAAUCUUCCGCAAUGGGCGAAAGCCUGACGGAGCAACGCCGCGUGAGUGAUGAAGGUCUUCGGAUCGUAAAACUCUGUUAUUAGGGAAGAACAUAUGUGUAAGUAACUGUGCACAUCUUGACGGUACCUAAUCAGAAAGCCACGGCUAACUACGUG
rnacentral:rRNA from 1 species